GAAUCCUUAAGGCCUUUGAAUAUCGGCGAGGUGCCUUCAGUUGAACCUUAUCAUGACUUCCACCCGUGGUAGCGAGGACUGCCUUUAUCUCAACAUCUGGGUCCCUCAUCAUCGUUCAGUGUCCACUAAGCUCCCAGUCAUGGUGUGGAUCUAUGGAGGGCUUUCCUGUGGGGGGGCUCCAUGGGGCCAACUUCCUGAACAACUACCUGUACAGCGGGCAGGAGAUAGCGGACAGGGGGCGUGAUCGUGGUCACUGUCGCAUACCGCCUGGGCCCCCUGGGAUUCCUCAGCACUGGAGACUCUGGCAUGCCUGGUAACUACGGUCUGUGGGACCAGCAGGCUGCCAUCGCCUGGGUCAGCAGGAACAUCCGCUCCUUCGGAGGAGACCCCGAUAACAUCACUGUCU
ensembl:lncRNA